rnacentral:rRNA from 1 species
GCGACGCUGGCGGCAUGCCUAACACAUGCAAGUCGAACGAGAAAGUUCCUUCGGGAGCAAUUAAAGUGGCGCACGGGUGAGUAACGCGUAGACAAUCUGCCCUUCAGUCUGGGACAACUUUUCGAAAGGAGAGCUAAUACCGGAUAACAAUGCAUGACACAAGUUGUAUAUUUGAAAGCUUUAUGUGCUGAAGGAGGGGUCUGCGUCCCAUUAGCUAGUUGGUAAGGUAAAGGCUUACCAAGGCAACGAUGGGUAGCGGGUUUGAGAGGACGAUCCGCCACACUGGAACUGAGACACGGUCCAGACUCCUACGGGAGGCAGCAGUGGGGAAUAUUGCACAAUGGAGGAAACUCUGAUGCAGCAAUGUCGCGUGAGUGAAGAAGGCCCUUGGGUCGUAAAGCUCUUUUAUGGGGGAAGAUGAUGACGGUACCCCAAGAAUAAGCACCGGCUAACUAUGUGCCAGCAGCCGCGGUAAUACAUAGGGUGCGAGCGUUGUUCGGAAUUACUGGGCGUAAAGGGCGCGCAGGCGGAAUAGUAAGUCGGAGGUGAAAGCCCGGGGCUCAACCCCGGAGGGUCUUUCGAAACUGCUAAUCUAGAGAGGGUCAGGGGCCGGCAGAAUUCCUGGUGUAGAGGUGAAAUUCGUAGAUAUCAGGAGGAAUACCGGUGGCGAAGGCGGCCGGCUGGGGCCACUCUGACGCUGAGGCGCGAAAGCGUGGGGAGCAAACAGGAUUAGAUACCCUGGUAGUCCACGCCGUAAACGAUGAGCACUGGACGUCCGGAGGGUUCGACCCUUCUGGGUGUCUCAGCUAACGCAUUAAGUGCUCCGCCUGGGGAGUACGGUCGCAGCACAUAC